GGAAUUUUGGACAAUGGGCGCAAGCCUGAUCCAGCAAUGCCGCGUGAGUGAAGAAGGCCUUCGGGUUGUAAAGCUCUUUUGUCAGGGAAGAAACGGUGAGAGCUAAUAUCUUUUGCUAAUGACGGUACCUGAAGAAUAAGCACCGGCUAACUACGUGCCAGCAGCCGCGGUAAUACGUAGGGUGCAAGCGUUAAUCGGAAUUACUGGGCGUAAAGCGUGCGCAGGCGGUUUUGUAAGUCUGAUGUGAAAUCCCCGGGCUCAACCUGGGAAUUGCAUUGGAGACUGCAAGGCUAGAAUCUGGCAGAGGGGGGUAGAAUUCCACGUGUAGCAGUGAAAUGCGUAGAUAUGUGGAGGAACACCGAUGGCGAAGGCAGCCCCCUGGGUCAAGAUUGACGCUCAUGCACGAAAGCGUGGGGAGCAAACAGGAUUAGAUACCCCAG
rnacentral:rRNA from 1 species